rnacentral:rRNA from 1 species
CAGUCGCCGCGGUAAUACGUAGGUGGCAAGCGUUGUCCGGAAUUAUUGGGCGUAAAGGGCUCGCAGGCGGUUUCUUAAGCCUGAUGUGAAAGCCCCCGGCUCAACCGGGGAGGGUCAUUGGAAACUGGGAAACUUGAGUGCUGAAGAGGAGAGUGGAAUUCCACGUGUAGCGGUGAAAUGCGUAGAGAUGUGGAGGAACACCAGUGGCGAAGGCGACUCUCUGGUCUGUAACUGACGCUGAGGAGCGAAAGCGUGGGGAGCGAACAGGAUUAGAUACCCGUGUAGUCCCUGUCUCUUAUAC